GGCCGGCACUUGUGACCACUACCGUGCCAGAAUUUUGCAGAUCGGAGAGUCUGAAAGUGAUGUCAAGUCGCAGCUUAAGAAGCACAGACUGAGAGUUAAGCGCGUCUUCGACACUUCAAGUGAGGAGGAAAGUGAAUACGAUGUUCCUUCAGAGGUAUUUUGUCUAUUCUAGCAAGUGAUUGAUCAAGUCUAACUGAAAAUGUUUGACCAGUGUUUUCUUGUUUCUUGCCUAGGGACAAAAAACAGUAAGAACGAACAAUAAGAACGAGCAUCUUUUAAAGAUACUCGCAAGAAAGAAAAAGUCGGUGAGCAGCCUUCCGUUGCAUGAUGGCCUUAAAGGAAAACAUGACGUGCUGCUUAAAAAAGUUGCUGACAUGGAAAAAAGAAUAGCAGCACAGGAGGAGGAGCUUGUGGAGCUUAGAGCUCUCAAUAGAGGCCUGCAGCAAGAGCUGCUGAAAAAAUUGACAGAAGGAGACAAUGGUGCAGUGCCAAAGAGUAAGCCAUCUAGCCAUGGCUCGAUAUCUGUGACAGCAGCCCGGCUUGCCCCUGCUGAAGACAACAUGCAAGUGGACACGCCAGAUGCCUGUCCACCUGUUCAGUCGGCUGCACAGCUUCGACCUGAAGAAUCGGGUGCCAGCAUGGUGAGGUGUUUACAAUUUUUUUAAAGAAAAAGACACGCUGAGGCUUGCAUCACGGCAGUGAUGAUGCAAAACUGCACAUUAAAAGAAAUAUUAAACUAAGUGCAUUCAUUUUUGCCAUUCCCCUUUUUUGUGCUAGCAUUAAAAAACAUUUAAAUCUGAAUUUGUGUCAUGUGCAGCUAGCAAAACAUAGUGUGGCCAUGCCUAUACACCACAGACCAAUCAACAACACGUGAAUGCUUCUGGUUGGGUUAUUUUCACAGGCAUUUCAAGAAAAGUAUGCAUCAAGGCUUCCAAGCUAAGCAAGCAUCAGCGCUUCAAUUAUAUUUGUUUGAGAAAAGCUUCACAAAAUAAUUUAUGUUUUGCUUAUAAGCCUGCAAAUUGAAUAUUGGUUGCCAAGUGAAUAUCGCUUGUUUUUUUUUUUUUUUGCCCAGAUUGACAUUGGAGAGGGCCUGCGUGUGCCAACAGAAACAUGGCGUCGAAUCCAGGCUCGCGAAAAUGAUUCGCUCUUCGUGAAGGACCUCCUUGUGGCGGUCUGGGACCCAGCCCAGUUGCAAGGCCGAUCUUUGCAUGGUAGCUAUAACUUACUUUUCACAGCCUUAAAUGUACUGUUUGAAUUUUCUCAAUACAUGCUACUUUCUGCAGGGAAGCACUGCCCUCGUUUCGCAGACCGGCCAAGAAAGGAGCCCUUAACACCGUGGAAGGUGUCCGUCAUGCAAGCCUGCUUCAAGCGCCGUCUUGAAAAGCAAGGUUUCCCCGAGAGUGUCGUGUCAACAUUGAUUAAACGUAUGAAUCAUUACGUGGGGGAGAAGAUUGCCGACAUUGACAGAACAGCGAAAAGGUAUACUGAUUAGAACAAUUUUCUUGCAUUUGCUGUUUGAACCUUAGCUACAUAAACCGCAAAUUGUGACUCUUAAACCUGGUUGGACUGCUGAGUAUUAAAGUUGAGGUGCUUUUUUAUCCAAUUUCAGCUUGCCAAUGUUGCCAGCUUUUGAGGGCAACAGGUUUUUCAGGAGUCCAUACACAAUGCUGUCUUUCUUUUUUAUCCAUUUCUGCAGGUUGUGGCGCGACUAGACCGGAAAGGGCCAUCCCACAUUGCAUUUUUCUUAUUUAUUUUUAUUUUAUUUAUGAAUACUGCGAUCUUGUGCACAAGAUCAUAGCAGGUGGGAAACAUUGUGUUAAGAUACAGAAUUACAGACACAAAGAAAACAAAAUUGCACAUAGAAAUUCAACAAGAGAAUACAGCGACAAGGUCAAUUAACAACAAUCAAUUCAAAUGCUCUUGAAAUGAAUGUAAUGAUGUCUGUCUGACAACAUCAUCCGUGAGGUUAUUCCAAUCAGUGAUGGUCCUUGGAAAAAAGGAAUAUUUAAAACAAUUAACUCGCGGAUUUAAUGGUGUUAUAGAAAGAGAAUGGCGAUUUCUAGUUUGGUACCCCGAGGAAUAGGUAAGGAUAUUGGAGGUGUCAACUUUGAGAUUAUUAUUAAUUAAUUGAUAGAAAAACUUCAAGCGACAUAUGCGAUUUCUGUUAGGAAUAGA